rnacentral:rRNA from 1 species
UACGUAGGUGGCAAGCGUUGUCCGGAAUUAUUGGGCGUAAAGCGCGCGCAGGCGGUCCUUUAAGUCUGAUGUGAAAGCCCACGGCUCAACCGUGGAGGGUCAUUGGAAACUGGGGGACUUGAGUGCAGGAGAGAAGAGUGGAAUUCCACGUGUAGCGGUGAAAUGCGUAGAGAUGUGGAGGAACACCAGUGGCGAAGGCGACUCACUGGACACAUAUUGACGCUGAGGUGCGAAAGCGUGGGGAGCAAACAGG